UACGUAGGUGGCAAGCGUUAUCCGGAAUUACUGGGCGUAAAGCGCACGCAGGCGGUCUUUUAAGUUUGACGUGAAAGCUCCCGGCUUAACUGGGAGAGGUCGUUGAAUACUGGAAGACUUGAGGAAAUGAGAGGGGUGUAGAAUUCCUGGUGGUAGUGGUGGAAUGCGUAGAUAUCAGGAGGAAUACCAGUGGCGAAAGCGGCACCCUAGCAUUUUUCUGACGCUCAUGUGCGAAAGCGAGGGGAGCGAACGGG
rnacentral:rRNA from 1 species